CGGCCAUUUGCUGAUAAAUCAAAGGAGCCUGCUACUUCCGGGAGCCAUAGAAAGAUGGUGCGCAUGCGUGGCAGCAGCUCAGGGGCCUGUGUCAACCAUCGGAGUAACAUACUACGAGAACACAAAGCAUGCUGGGAAGUCCACAGCAGUGUAACGCAGCUUUGGGGGCACCCCUUUCCUCAGUCUUUUUCUGUUUUCAGACAUACGGAUCACGAUGCGUUGUUCUCAUUCACUCCCCUCUCCCACUGCCCUCCCUCAGUCCCCUUUUCUUCUUUCUCCCUUCUCCCAGAUAGACCCCCUCUUCUGCUGUGUGUGUGUAGACCAGAGGUUGGGGGUUUGUACCAGAAGCAGUGUAGCUGGAUUCUAUGACAUUUCUUUUUCACUUUUGGAGACCCCUCCAUCUUGAUUCAACAGUGGCUGCAACCGUUGACAUCCCCUGCCAGCAGCGGCCUCCAUUUCCUCACACCCCUACCUCACACCUGAAUCUUAACCAGCAUGGUGGUUCGGCCUUUAGAUUACGGGUGGGUGCGAGAAGAGUUUCAGCUCCCGUGUCUCUCAGAUCUCGGUAAUGGUUUUUGAUUGCUUGUUAAGGAACACGAGGAGUGUUUUUAUGAUGUCUUUCGUCAUAAAUAUAAAAAUGUGAUCUAUGCUUGCACCCUGAAAGUAUUCAGAUUGGUCUUGGGUUCCAUGUCCUGUUGCUCUGUGAGGUGCUUCUAGCUUCUUGGCUUUUAGAACACAUUCCUACGCACAUAGGAAAUUGAGUAUGAGGGAUUUUCAAAUUUUAGAACUUGAAUGCCAAGUGUCCUCUCGCUCACACAUUGAAUGGGUAGCAGUGAAUACAGAUUAUCUUACCCCACGCCCUUGCCCUUGGGGAUCAUGCCAUGGACCACAGGAACAUGAAGUUGACCUCACCUCCCUUCUUCUCCCCUCCCUACUCCUCCUUGAACCCUGCCUGAGAGGGGAGGGCUCUCUGAAGUAUCUGUUUAUUGACAGUGAAGGAAAAGAACAUUCAGAAUACAGAAGGGGGGUCAGGGAAGGCCUGGCUGGCAGGUCCACAGUUCUUUGUAGAUGACUUUACUCAUAAUUACCAAACCCUUUCAUUAUCAAUGGCCCUUCCUUAUCCAUGGUCAGUGAACAGUGUCUGAGAGGAAGAGGGGUUUACAGGAGAACGAGAUGAGUGGGUGAAGGGUUGUCAGUUAUACCACAGCAAAGGGUUCUAUCAUGGGUGCCAGGAGGGUGAGGCUCAGUCAGUGUGCCUACUGUGUUCCUGGUUCUCAGAGCCAGCUCUCUCAUACUGGUGUGUCAUCAGUAUUAGUGACUUUUCUCAUCCUUGCGAGCAAAUACUUUGAGAAGAAUCAAUGUAAAGGAGGAGGAAGCUAUUUUGGGUCCAGUUUGAGGAAACGCAGCUCCUCAGGAAGCAGAGAGAGGAGGACAGAAGUGGAAUAAAGCUGGCCUAGAGGGCCUCAAGGCCUACCCCAGUGUUACUCAGAAGCUGUCCAUAGCGUACUCCUGAAGAAUGAUUUCCAGAUUCAAAGGGGGAAAAGUGACGUCUUUGGUUGGGGACAGUUUGUGGUCAAAGAAGCAACGGGAAGUGACUCCUAAGACAAUGGCACGAUGCACCCACCAUCUGUAAUCACAGUAUCUCCAGGUGUCCCAGGCGGGUACUAGCCACUCUAGAGAAUGUUUUCUCAAUGGGGUUCUUACGAUAGACACUUCUUUUUUCUUUCCUGUGUGCUUUACCUGCAGGGACUUAAUUCCACACCGACACUGCCCCCAGAAUCCACCCCACAACAUGUAAGCUCAGACCCAUUUAUAUUCCCCGAGGGCUUUCAGUUUAUGAGCUAUCCAGGGACCGUAUUAGGUAGGGAUGAAAUGGGGGGUGUUUACAAACUGGCAACGAAACACGAUAUUUAUCCUGUCAGUUCAAACAAGCCUGGCAGAUGUAGUUUCUUUCUUUUUUUUUUUUCAUUAAAAUUAAAAUGGUAAGACAUACCGCAUUACUCUGCGCGAUGCCACCAGAUGUACAGCGUGCUUCUGACAAAGAGGCGGCCUGUGGUCAUUUGAGCCAGGCUGUGGCUUCUAACAAUUUGGUACAGGAACACUUGUUACGAGCAUUUACCUGAGAAGAAGCCCCACCCAGGUCAGACACAUGGAACGGGACCCGUCAGGCUUGUGACACUGAAGGUAGAAAUUAUUGGUGAUGUCUUUCCCUGGUGAGAAACAUCUUCACUAUCAGAGAAGAGCUUCAGGGAACAAAAGUAAGGUGAAUCUCUCAGACUUGUGGUGAGGAAUGACCCUGCACUCACAGUCCUCCUGCCUCCCAAGCGCUUCUUGCUAAUUUUUUUCAUUUUAAUCUGCGACAGUGGUUCUUGUCUCAGACCAUUGGACUAUGAUCUGAUCACAUAGUCUGGGUACACACCCUCUUUCCUUCAGUGUUCUUUACUUCUCAGUCGACGUCCAAAACCCCAAGUAGGAGGGGACGGAAGAAAGAACUGAUGCAACUGUUUUUCUGAGCAAGGGCCUCCAUUUUCCUGUUUUCAGGAUGCUCUUGUGUAUAGGUUGUGACUAUGAACCUUCUCCAUAUUACCGAUCAGUGAUCAAUAAUUUUGGGCAGUUCUUGCUCCUAAAAUAAUAUUGCCAACAAAUCUCUAAGAGACCUUUCUGGUAGAACUUCCUGAGGGCUCUGUGGCCCAGGGGCUGGAGCUGGCGCCAAUAGGAAUACAUCAUCUCAGAGGGUCCUGAGUGCCACAAUGGUAUGGGAACCCUUCCUCUCACACAUUCCUCUUUUGCACGUGCUCUUUGGUACAGGACCUAAGCCCAACGCUGUCUGGCUGUCAUAGCCAAUCCCCAUCUAAUUGUAUCUUUUGUCAUUACCUUGUCCGCACCCUGUGGAACCCGGUAUAUGUCCCUGCAGCGUGGCCAGCUGCUCAUUAGCAACCUUCACACUGCGUUUACAUGUUCCCUUGUGUGUGAUGCAUCUUGGGGGAUAUGUUCAUGAGGCUGUCAAUCAAGGCAGGAAAGGAAUCAAUGCUGGAACAAAGAAAGGGCUUAGAACUAAGCACUGGAUCACAUUUGUCCUGGACUGAUAAGAAUGAAUUUUGUCAGUGGUAAUACUUUUCCUUGGUCACCAGCCGCAAGAUGACGGAAAGACAGAAUAGCAACCCAUCACUCACACACCCAUGACGGGUUUCAUUAACAGCAAACCCGUCCCACAAAUAAAAUGCCAUCACUGGACAACUGGAAUCCUUAAAGGAAGAUGAACAAGUGGCCCCAGGCUAUCCACCUGAAUGAAAGGCUAAUGUCAACAGCUUCCCGACUGGACUGUAACUAUGGAGGAAUGCGAGCUAACAUGAUCAUGGUCACUCUAGAGCAACCGGCACAAAUCAGAGUAUCUGCACCCACAGACAGAGUGUGGAGAUGUUCCCUGACAUAACUAGUAUUGUGGGUUGAAUUACUUCCCUGUCCCCAACUUCUUAUGUUGACGCCUUAACUGCAGGCAUCCCAGGAUGUGACCUUAGAAACAGAGAACACUGAUAUCAUCAGCUGGGAGGUGACAUGCUGGGGGACAGUGGGCCAAUGAGGUUAUGUGUCUGUGGCUAUGGAUUCAAUGUUGUCUCUUCUGUAAUUCCCACUGGAAGAUAACUACAUCAUAACAGUAUUAAAGGUGGGACCUCAUUAAGAUUAUUAAGGCAUGUGCUGUUCUGUCUUUCUGUUAAUGCUACUAUUCGGGGGUGGGGGUGGCGGGGGAUUCCUUACAGAUGGACAAGUUUAGCCUCUGGCGCCUCUCUCUUGCCUAAGUGAUGCCUUCUACCACAGAAUAACCCAGCCAGAAGGCCUUCCCACAUGUCCUGGGCAUCCCCGUGUUCAGACUCCUACAGAUAAACUUGUGUUCACUACACACUCAUCCUCAGGCACUUCGCUAUAGCAGGGCAAAUGGAUAAAGACAAACAGCACGCUUCUGAAGGGGGGAGAUUCGAACCCAGGUGGUGGUGCCACACACCUUUAAUCCCAGCACUUGGGAGGUAGAGGCAGGCAGAUGUCUGUGAGUUCAAGGCUAGCCUGGUCUACAGAGUAAUUUCCAAGACACCCAGGGCUACAUAGAGAAACUCUGCCUUGAAAAAAACAAAAAACAAAAAACAAAAAGACAACAAGGGGGCGGGGGGAAGACACACACAUUAAAUAACUUAGAAGUCAAUACGGACGGCUCCAAUUUAAUUAUGAAAAAGAAAGGAAACCCACUGAAUUAAAAAAAAAAAAAGCCAACAAUCUGUUGUUCAGAAGAAAUAGAUUUGUACCAAGUCAUUUUCCGUAGCUGGGUUGGGAAAGGUUUGAGACCUAACUCGUGUGAUACCAGAGCAGAAGAUACUGCGGGCUUUUCCAUCUGUCGUUUCUUUCCCCUGGUGAAUCCUGCUAGGCUUGCAAGGCCAGGCCUCGGGUCCCUGCCAGCUCAGUAUUAAUGACAAAGCACGCACACACGCGAAGCAUAAGGUUUGUUGAGCUCUCUGAGCAUAGGUAUGUGCGUACACACACACACACACACACACACACACACACACACACACACACACACACACACACACACACACAGGUCAUUGACCAGGAGGAGAAGGAUGUUCUGCCCAUCCUCCCUUCACACAGCAAAGUGUACGCCCUCAGAGGAUCUGGGUUGCCUAGAGAGGGUGGUUCGCUAGGCCUGCGGCAAACAGUAAAUUGAAAGCAUUGCCAGAGUCCCCCUCUGGAAGCUUCCCACAGGCUGUGGGAAUGGUAGCAGGAUUAGAGAUUAGCUGAGUUCUCCGCUUGUUUGCUUUGUUUUGUGAUAGCUGCUGAGAGCGCUGGGGACCUACCGGAGCAGACAAAGACCACUUCACGCUGUUUGCAGAUGGGAGGUGGAGUGCUUUCUGCUCUGAGUGCUUUAUUUCAGGACUGAAAUAAACAAGCUUGCCCUCGAGUUCAUCUGAAGCUACAAAGGAGCUGCCGUCCCUUCCCCUUCUUCCCUGGCUCCAGUGCCUUUCCUCUCUCCCUUCUCCAGAUUUUUCUUCUUUUCUCUCUGGCUUCCUUUCUUUCCUUUGUUCUUUGCUUUCUCCCUACUUUAUUUUCUUCCUUUCAGAAGGAGGAUAAAGGAAUAAAUAAAUAAAGGGUAUGAAGGGAAGGUUUGGGAUCCCAAAGGGCUCCAGGCUGGGUGCACCAACAGGACACAGGGACCUAAUGGCAGAACGGAGGAGAAAAAAGUCAAGGGGUCCUGGGCAUGCUAAAACAAGCAGCAGGGAGCCCGGGGUCUCAUGACUAGGGAGAGUGAAGGAAGAGAACAGAGAGUGGCUGAGGGCUGUGUGUGCUUCCGGACCAACAGUAUUUGAGAUGUACGUGGGACACCGGAACUUAAAGUGAAGAAUUCCCUCUACCUGGACGCACACACCGGGGGCAUCAGCAGCAGCUGUGACUAGCCCUGUGGAAAUGAAUGGAGAUGAUCAGGGAGAGACCAGGUUUGCUAGGGCCUUCUCUGAUGGUAAGGGAAGACAUCUUAAAGGAAUGAGUGCUAUAGGAGGAGGGGAAGACAGAGAAAGAAACUGGUUGGAGUAGACCACAUAGAAUUGUUUUAUUAUAUAAAGGAGGAAAAAUACUUAAAGAAGUUAGUAGUUCAGGAGAGAAAUUCUUCAAGGGAGCUGCUUUCUGACUGUAGAUGUAAUUUGACCAGCGGCCCCAAGUUCCUGUUCCUAGUCUUCCCUACCACAAUAGACAUGACUUCCAAACUGUUAACCUAAGUAAGUCUUUUCUCCCUUAAGUUGCUUUUGUUGAGUAUUUUAUCUGAGCAAAGAGAAAAGUAAAUAAUACGUGUGCUUUGGGCCCGGCUGUAAGCACUGAACACGGGGCAGGCACUCAUUGCUCAGGAGUAUAGGACGAUCACAGUCUGUCACAUGGACCCUUCCCCGAGGCUUCUGGGCUUCUGCCCACGGUUACUCAUUGUAUAUGACAACGAUUAAAUCGAUCGAAUGUCAGGGAAAACAUGUGAGCCAGAAGAGUCAAUGUUGCAGAAACAACUAAGUUUAGGAUAACCUGACUCAAAACGCUGUUUAAAAAAAAUGCGAAGGCGAUGAAGCCAGCUGGCUGACAUGUUCCAAGAGUGUGGGCAGCCCUUCAACACUGCUUUCUUAAUAAUUAACUCCUACACGUCACUUUUCCCGCCUUGGAGGCUGAUGGACAAAGACACAGAGAAGCAAGCAGGAGCAGAAUGGUUUCUGAGGUGGAUGCCAUUGGCUCAAGCCUCCCUCCUUUACGGCUUCCUACACACCAUGGCGAUGUGGGUAAUGUUUGCACGCUGCCGCUGCCCCGGCCCGUCUCUCUUCCUGUGUAAGCCUUGAGCUAUAGAAAAUUAGGAAGUCCUGAGCCCAGAGAACCUUGCAGGAAAGACACCUCAAUACUGGGAUUCUUUGGUUGCUACUUGUGGAAAGGCCACUUCUAUCUCAGGGACAGCAUCGGGGAAUUACAGAAUUUUUUUUUUUUAAAUGUCUCUGUUUAGGCUAGGAGAUGCUGACCACAGACAGAAAAUAAGGAUAAACAGCCAGCCACAGGGUUGCACACCUAUCAUGCUCACUAGGCUGAGGCAGGAGGAUCAUUUGAGCUCAGGAGUUUGAGAUCAUCCUGGAUAACAGGGUGAUCUCAAAACCAAGCCCCAUUUUCCUCAAAAAGCAAAACACAAGAGUUCUAACUUUUGAAGAAAAAUGAUUUUAAAGAUGCUGAUGAUUAAUGGAAUUUCUACAGAAAGUCCUUUGGGAUUCUGAAGAGCAAUAUUAAGUUAUUAUUUGUGUGUGUGUGUGUGUGUGUGUGUGUGUGUGUGUGUGUGUGUUUGUGUGUGUGUGUGUGUGUGUUUGUGUUCAUAAAUCUGGAGGCCAGGAGAAGACUUCAGAUCCCUCAGAGCUUACAAAUAUUUGUGGAACACUUAGCUUGUUCCGAAGGUCCUGGGUUUGAACUUAGGUCCCCGGGAUUGUGUGGCAAGCACCCCUUAAACCCAGAGUCCUCUUUUCCACCCUAAAUUAUUAUAUGUUUCAGAUGGGAAACUUAUGAUACAGAUUUUUCUCUUUCUUUUUUCAAUUUUCACUGUGUGGACUUUGUUUGGUCUGCUCUAAGGCCUGAGUCAGCCAACAGCAGGGAGUCCAGACUGCUCUUGACAAACUCACACACCUGACGGAAAGAAAGAGAAUAAGAAAAGUCACACCAGCUGUAGAGACCGGACCCCUGGGGGUCACUGACAUGUGAGACGAGGGGAAAGGCACGAACGACCCUGGAGCUCUGGCAGUGGGAACACUGCAGAUUGUGCGUGAGCAGGGGACACCCACGUGCAUGAAGGAAUGGUCCAGAAAACGUAUCCUAACCUCACAUUUUAUAUCAACGGAAAUUAGCACCAGCGCAAGAAAAGCUUGCAGCAAGCGUCCCAUAACUGGUUAGAGAUGAGUGAGUUACAUGCCUUCCACUAGGGGUGGUUCAGACGUUUGUAUGUGUGUGUGGGAGAGAACACAAGUGAGAGUGAUCUCGAGACCAGCUCCACAGGCCUGGGGCAUGUGUGGAGGUCAGAAGACAACCUCAAGUAUCACUCCUCAACAGCUACCCUGUUUGAGAUGGUGUCUUUUUGUUUUCUCCACUGGAUACACCAGACUAGCUGGCUCACAAGUUUCUAGCUGUUCUCCCAACUCUACCUUCUAUUCUCCACGGGAUUACUAUGGUUACAGAUGCUUACUGCUGUGCCUGGCUUUAUAAAGGUUCUUGGAGCUCGACCUUAGAUCUUCAACCUUGCAGGGCAAGCCAUCUAUCCUUGAAGCCAUCUCCCCAGCCCAGGUCUUUUCAUGAGCAAAUAUGCAGCUACAGUAUACAAGGGCCUCCAAUCGCCAACGUGAUUAGUAUGUUUAUAACCGUGUCUAGGACUUGGAGCAAUCUUCCCUAUUUUAAGUCAUUGUAAAGGUUUGAUCGUAUCUUAGGUUUUAUGAUGUGGAGUUGGGCUGCUCUGCGCUUUAUUUCCAGCUGGUAAAAUAAAGUUUCAAAUUAUAGCCCUCUCCCUGUGGGAAAAGAUAAUCCAAUUUAUGACUUUCCAAGAAGAAUCCUGUCCAAAUUCUACUCUAGGAUGCUCAGCCAAAGAAAAUGAUGGGACCCCCGUUGCUUGACUCGUUUAAAUCCAAUUUGUGUGAUGUGCUGGCCAUUAUUCCAUAGAGAGAGAGAGCGUCUGCACAGAGAUGGGAUAAACACUGAAGUUCUGUGGUGCCUUUUCUGUAGUUCAAACUGCAGUAUUCCUGCUCCGGAGGCCAGAUAUUGGACACUUACAGCAAUUUCACUGGCACAAGAAAGCACCACUUUUCACAAUUUACAUGAAGACUCCUUACAGGGAAGAAACCCCUUAAUUGGCACUUUUUUUUCCCCUAUAGCAUUUAAAUAUCAGGCCAGCUGGAUUCCCACAGCCCUUGUGAAUUUAAUCAGCAUGCUUUUCCCAGAACCUAUAGUCUCUAAUCACCCAGUGUUUGAGCUACAUCUGUCGCCCAAAUCUGCUUGUGAUCAUUUGUCAUCGUUAGCGCUCUUCGUCUAGAAGAGUCAUCCGAGGCACCCUCAGAGGCUCUCAUUUUGUAAAAGAGGCCUAAGGGAAACAGUGUUGUCCUUCUUGGAGUUUAAGUGCCUUCCAAGCAUCACGGGCUUGUUCACCUUCUAAUUCUCCCUUACCUAAAUUCCUGUGAGCAACGGUCUUUCAAGGCUCAUUAUGUGGUCAUUAUGAGGCUACAAUUUCCCCAGCCGUACCCUCAACUUGUAUUUCGAGCCUUACCAAAUACACCUCCAAAUUUCAGUUUUUCUUGUGUGUGUGUGUAUGUGUGUGUGUGUGUGUGUGUGUGUGUGUGUGUGUGUGUGUCUACGGACAACUGGAUGAUACUAAAUAAAAAUGUCACUUUGCUCCAUUCCCCUGCCUGAGCCACUGUGGUUCAUUAACCACAGCUUUUAGUCUUUAAACCAAUCUAAUGUGACCAGGACCCUGAGUCAUUUUGGAUUAAACUUGAACAUCGCUAAGACCACAGCGUGUCAUAACAACAAAGACACAUUAGCUUGGGAGGUACUUGAAGCUCUUAGCAUGUCCUGUUGAGGAGACAGAAAAUAGGCAUGGAACAGUUAACUGGGAGAUGUUGCCCAAAUGACACAGGAACAUGUCACUAGUGUGGACACAGGGAGAGUUAACUAUCUAGCUGCCCAGGGAGUUCAAGGCUACCAUGAAAGAAAUCCAAAAGGCAGAUACGGGUCUGGGGAUGUGUCUUAGCCCAUGAAAUGUUUAUAGCACCCGAGGACCUGAACUCCUGCUUGCAACACCUGCAGACGGGUGAGGUGUGGAUACAUAGAAUAGUAUCAUCUGUAGUCCUAGGGCUGGAGGCAGGGGAGUCAGUUUAGCAGAAUCAGGCGGCUGCAGGUGCAGUGAGAAACACUGUCUCAAAAAAAACAAGGUGGAGAGCUAGGGAGAUGACUUCAUGGAUUAAAACCGUGCAAGCAUGAAGACCUGAGCUGGGAUUGCCAUCAAGUCAGGCAAGUGUGGCAGUGUGUCUGCAAUUCCAGUACCCAAGAGGGCAGUGACAGGGACAGCUCGGCAGUUGGGACUAGCUGGAUUCCAAAGCUCACGUUCAGCAAGAGACCCUGUCUCAGAAAGGAGAGACGUGACCAAGGACAUUUGAUGUCAAACUAGUCUUUGGGGCUUCACGUGCUUUUACACAAUAUGCUCCCUUAUGCAUGCUAACACACAGACAAAAGGCACACACAGUCCGUAUACAUACAACAAAAUAAGGUGGAGAGGAACUGGGGACGAGUUUACGGUAACCUCUGGCUUCCACAUGCAUGUGAACAAACACAUACAUCUACACAAACAUACACACAAAGGGUACUCAUAUGUUCCUUAGUGAUUGAAGAGUGCUGGUGAUGGGGUUUAAAGCUUACUGGUGGUAACAUUGAGAUAACUUGCAAAAUACAGGAAUUUGUUUAAAAUGUGUAUUACAUUUUAUUUGGUGUGUGCGUGCGUGUGUGUGUGUGUGUGUGUGUGUGUGUGCGUGUGUUUGCGUGCAUGCAUGCACAGGCAUGUGCACAUGUGCUAAACGUUUUUCAGAGGACAGCUUGCUUGAGUCAAUUCUCUCCUUCCAGGGAUUGAACUCAGGUCAUUAGGUUCCGCAGCAAGUGGCUUUACGUACUAAGCUGUCUUGUCAGUCCAAAACACAGGACUGCAUGGACCAUGAAAAUCACACUACCAGCGUCCUUCUCUCACAGAGGACCAGAAUCCCACACAUGAGAUAAUAGAUGACGUACAAGAGCUAAAGGCACUGACUCUGACAGGCAUCCAAUAGCUGUUUGUUUAAAAAAAAAAAAAAAAAAAAGCUCAGAGAAGGGACUCGCUGGGUUGAAGAUUAAAGAGGGCUGGAGUCUGAAGAGAGACGUACAGAGAUAGAAAGGAACUGCUCACAGGCACAUCCACCUCAGAAGUGAUUCCAGAUAUGGGGGCAUGACUCCCAUCACGGUCAACUCACAAGGCCUGACAAAAACAUUUUUCCUCUAUUGUUUACAAAAGGGAAUAAAUACCCAAGCUGGGGGCGGGGGAGAGAUUCUCAAGGCGUUUGCCACCAGCAACUAAAUGUUAAGCUAUGCCGGGGGAAGAGACAUGCAGAAUAGAAAGGGAAAGAAUAGUCUCUCUCUCUCUCUCUCUCUCUCUCUCUCUCUCUCUCUCUCUCAAAAAUUCUCUCUCAACUGGUUUGAGAAGUUCUCGAUCUCUCCCAAACAAACGGAUGCAAAGAUCCUCUAUCAUCCAAGUCAGGAAAUAAGUUUAAAAAAAAAAAAAAACGUGUAAAAGGAAUUUUGGUCCUCAUUCUCCUGGCUCGUGUUGGGAACGUAUCUGUGAGACUCUCUGGAAGGCACAGCGCAUCUCAAUGAGCUGCAUGUACAGCAGUUUGUCUCAUUCUGAAGACAAUUAUAUAAAGUUUAUUCAGGACGACUUUUUUUUUUUUUUUUUUUUUUUUUAACUUCAGAACUCAAGAGAAGCCGCAUUAUCCAUCGAGAGCUGACUUAAAAAGUACGGUACGGGUGAAAACUCCUGUAUCAAUAUCAAACGGUGGUUUGCUCACGGGAUCCAUCCUCCCCCCACCCCCCCCAGCACAUACAAAUAUAGAACAUGACCAUAAAAAGUCACGGACUGCGCCCUGGCUAGCUAAUUUAUGACAGCACAUCCAGCUCGGAAUGCCAGCUGGAACUCCCUUCUCCUCGCCUGGCACGGUUCACAUACACAGCGUUGUAAGAAGAUGAAAACUCUGUCCAGAAAAGACCACUUCAGUUAGGGCUUGCUGAAGCAGCAGCCAAGAGGCACAUCUGAGGAAAAGGCCCCAGCAGGCUCUUCCAAGGCAGCUAAGAUUUGGUGAAUGAGUCAGCAACUUCUUUUUAAAUUUGAUUUUUUUUUUUUUUUGAUUCAGGUCUUGAGAGUGAUCUUGUAACCCUUCCAGCUUUUUGAUACCGGGUUUACGAUGGCCGGCAAGAGGGCGUUUCGUUUUUUUUUUUUUUCAGUAAAGAAUGAUAAGCAGCCGAUAAUUAUUUUAUAAAGAAUUCAAAGUGAUCUUGACAUGAAACAAGAAAAGGAUAAUGAAGAAAAAAAAUGCCUCAGUCAAAUAAAUGCGGUUUUAUCCAUUGUGUGGUAUUUAUCACCGAAGCUAUCUGAAAUUCUAACAAACUUGGAGUGAGAGAGUUGAAACAAAGGACAACCUCUCUCUCUCUAUGAACCUUCACCCCUCAGAUAAUCUCCCAGAUCUGCAGCCUGUGCUAAUCACCUCACUUCCUUUGGACAGACGUUCAUUAUCUGAUUCGGGUCUUACACAAAGAGAGAUGAGCUAAUGUGCCUUAUCAGAUUAAAAACAACAACGACAAAGCCACCCCGAGUGACAGUUCAGCGGGACAGGAUCUUAGCAAAUCCUUUUUGCCUCCACAAGCUGUGAGCUUCCAAAUAGCUAUAAUGCUACCAGUCCCAGUCAGAGCUCACAGCUCAUCACCGCUUUAUGCUGCUAAAGCAAACAGUCU